UCUGCCGCUGGCCCCUGCAGCGGUGGCGGCGGGCCCUGUUCCUCUAAGGGGAGGGGGAUCUUCGGCCUUACAGAAGGGCGAGGCGGCGGCCUCGGUCUGUGUGGCGGCGGCGAUCGAUGCGGCCGCUCGGGCGGCGUGGGGGUCGGGCCUGGGCGCGUUGCUGUUGCCGGGUCGGGUGCUCGCGGUGGAGGUUGGGAAGUUCUCUUCUUCGACUUGCUCAGCGGCCGGCGGAGGCGUCCUGGUGGCCAGGGACGCAGGUCCGGUGGAUAGCUCCUCCGGUGGUGUCUCCAGGCGUGGCGUGGUGUGGAUCUGGUGGUCAGGGACCCGCUCGUGUGGCGGCGCGCGGAGCUCCGUGCCUCGGUUCUCAGAUCUGGCCGACCUCGAUGGGGCGGGGUGGCAGCCCCCCCCCCCCCCCCGUCCUCUACUCACAGGCUUCACGGCUGCGGUGCGGUGGUGCUGCCCGACUUCGUCGACAUCAAGGUGCGGUGCGCCUGAUGCGGUGGGGCUGCUCAAUGGUGGCUGAACAGCGACAACGAGUACUAUGGUAUGUGGUGGGGGGUGGUGGCGGAACUGUUACAACCGGUCUUGAUAUCACUGCUUUUUGUUGGCAUGGCGGGCGCUUCGGUUUUGGUCUCCGACGGGUGUGCGGUGGCGCGCGUGGGGCAUGUCGGCACACCUGAUGUAUGGCCGCAGCCCGGACCAUGGUUGUUCCUGGCCUCGGGUGCGGUUGGCUCCGGCGGCUUGUCGUGCUUCUUCGUCUUUUGAAGGAUUCGAUGGUGUUGGUGGUCGGCUGUCGUCUUAUUGUAGGAAAGUGCUCAAACUCUAGGUGAAAACCUAAGAUCGGGAUUGCCAUAUCGGAUGGCGGUGUUGUGCCCUCGACAACACUACCUCCUUGGAGGCGUCAUCUUGGAGACCCAAAUGACGGCUUCAGUUGCUGCAUCUGGUUGAGGGUGGUUCAUGUGGUGGUGGUGGUGUGGCCUGCUCAGAACCGAGGGUGGUGUGUUCUGCUUCAGGUGUUUCUCUUCGGAUGUCCUAUGUGUGGUCUCCGGCCUGCUACUAUGCAUGCUCAUGACCUUGUUCUAUUGAGGCGAGCCUCGGGCUCUUGGUCUCGUCUUGGUUCACCUUUGCUCAAUAAUGACGCAAUGACGCCUCCCCGACAUGCUAAUCGUCUUGAACUUCCGUGGCGGAGCUCUCAGUCAAGGUUUGUGUUAAGCGUUGGCACUCGUUGAUUGUGGAUGCUCCUCUGUUGUACCGUGGGGUUUGAUACGCACGCCGGUGCGGUGCGUUAGGCUAUUUGUAUAGUCUUAGUAUUGUGAUCCCUUGAUGCACCCCUCGUCUACCUGUUCCUGUUAGUUUGCUAGCUAGGUCUUGCCUUAUGUUGGGCGUCAUUGUCCCUCUCCUUUUCUUGUAACACUUGUUACUUGUCUGGUUUUCGGCUCGGUUUUCCUCAUAAACAGGGUCAAUUUGUUAAGGUUUUUGAUCCGGUUUUCCUUAUAAACUGGAUCACCCUCCUGGCAUUAUGGCCACUUUGAGCAAUAUAUUCAGGUGGAGGGACUCGUCCCCCGGUGAUUCUAAAAAAAACACAUGGAAAGGGAAAAAUAAUUGGGGUUUGCUUCAAAUAAUGAAGCAGGUUGUGUCA